rnacentral:lncRNA from 1 species
AAGAUUUACGUUAUUCAGUUAUCCCGAAGGAAGCGGCGUCGUCAGCGAGUGAAUUCGGUAGCUCCGCUGGCGUCGCGACGCAGUUUCACUCGGACCAGAAUCGAGAAAGCAGCGUCGCGUUCAUCCCGACGCAACAAGUUUCCCGAAAAACGCGAAUAUCCGUAGUGUAAUUUGCCGUGUUUAAUCCAGAAUAUUUAUUAUUUAUGGACGGAUUGCUUCAAUUGUCAGCAUCCAGAGCCCAAGACAAGCCAUGACAUGAGAUGAGCGUCUGGCAAUACAUGGAGGUAGCCAUCACGCUGUGUGUAGGGGGUAGCAUUGUCGGUUCCCUUCUCCUGUGCUACUCCUGCGUUCUGAGGGACCUCUGCUGCCCGCCCCGUCCUAGGAAACCGCACCAGGACUGCGAUAAGCCCAGCCCUGAAUCCAUUUCCCUCAAAUACAUGACCCAUAUCAGCAGCCAGCCGACUGAGAUCAGCCAAGUGUAGGAUCAGAGUGGCCAUGCUUCGAGACCUUUGGGGGUGUAAUGGAGAGGACCAGACACUUUUCGUGGUGAACAUUUAGCGUUGGCCAUGCCCGUGUGGCACUACAUGGAAGUGGUGCUUACCUUAACAGUUGGCGGGUGCAUAGUGGGAGCCUUGCUCGCCUGCUACACAUGCGUGUUUCGGCAAUUGUUCUGUCCUCCGCGUCGUGGUAGUGCGGAUGGUAAAUCCAGUCCAGAAUCAAUUUCUUUGAAGUAUAUGGCGACGUUUAGCAGUCAGGCUACAGACACUAGUCCAGUGUAAAUUUGUACUUACCUACUGUCUAAGUUGCGGUUUUUAGUUAGGGAGAUGAUUAUGCAGAUUUUUUUCAUGAAAA